UGUUCCAAAGGUAGUACUGAAUUUUUUUUUAAUUAUAUAUAACUAUAACCCAAUGCUUUCUCAUACUACACGUUGCUGUCAGUUGAAACACAUUUUCUGGUCACGUCUUCCAGCUACAAAUUUAUUGUGUUUUCUAAGCACCUAUCACUCAUUGGCCAUAACUUUUUUGAUUUGAACUGCAGAGCAAAACUAGCACAAAUUUCUUUUUUCUUCAGUUUUGUGGCUAGAAGGUUCAUUUUCACCAUAGAUCAUAGCAACCUCAGCAUACAUUUUUUCCCCCUUGUUAAGUUCAGGAUUUUCAUCUAAAUUUAAAGAAAGCACUUUGCAGCUUAUCUUUGGCAUAUUAGCCGCCAGUAUCAUACUCUUGGCAUUUUGGGGCCAUUUUUAAGUAAAAUAUGGGUUAUUUGAACGUAAACACUGAAAGAUCAUAAGAGUUGAGCUGAUAACAAAGAUGGCCACUAAGUGGCUACCAAGAUAGGUAGCAUAUGCAGUGUAUCUAUGCUGGACCAAAGGAUGAUUGACAUCUAGAGUGGGAUAAAGUGGGACAGCAGAUUUCAUAACGCUACUUGUAAUAGUUAGCAAUUUAAGACUUAAUUAAUUGUUUUUUUCUAGAAUUUUCUAAUAAGUAUUUUUGGACUGCAGAUAUUUUGCAAAGCAAAGCCACAAAUAAUGGCAGAACCACACUACAAUACAAUCUCAAAGUUUUCUCAGUAUCCUUGAAGUAAUAAUACUGGGCAUCAAAAUUAGUCUGCAUAGAGUUUACCUAAAAUAGUUUUAGCCUGUGCAUUGCAGCUCUUUGCUCAUCAAGGGAAAACUUUCUACAUCAAAUAAAACCAUAAUUAUAGAAGCUAUC
rnacentral:lncRNA from 1 species